rnacentral:rRNA from 1 species
AUACGGAGGAUCCGAGCGUUAUCCGGAUUUAUUGGGUUUAAAGGGUGCGCAGGCGGCCAUUUAAGUCAGCGGUUAAAUCGUGGGGCUCAACCCCAUUCUGCCGUUGAUACUGGGUGGCUUGAUUGCGGUCGAGGUUGGCGGAAUUCGUUGUGUAGCGGUGAAAUGCUUAGAUAUCACGAAGAACUCCGAUUGCGAAGGCAGCUUACUGGACUGUAACUGACGCUGAUGCUCGAAAGUGUGGGUAUCAAACAGGAUUAGAUACCCUGGUAGUCCACACAGUAAACGAUGAAUACUCGCUGUUUGCGAUAUACGGCAAGCGGCCAAGCGAAAGCAUUAAGUAUUCCACCUGGGGAGUACGCCGGCAACGGUGAAACUCAAAUGAAUUGACGGGG